rnacentral:rRNA from 1 species
CCCUUAGAUGUUCUGGGCCGCACGCGCGCUACACUGAUUCAUGCAACAAGUUUUGUCCUUGGCUGAUAGGCCUGGGUAAUCUUUGAACGUGAAUCGUGAUGGGGAUAGAUGAUUGCAAUUAUUCAUCUUCAACGAGGAAUUCCUAGUAAACGCAAGUCAUCAGCUUGCAUUGAUUACGUCUCUGCCCUUUGUACACACCGCCCGUCGCACCUACCGAUUGAAUGGUCCGGUGAAAUCUUCGGAUCUGAGAGAUGUCUGAUUAAUUUCGGACGCCUUUUGGAAAAGUUGCUUAAACCUUACCAUUUAGAGGAAGGUGAAGUCGUAACA